GACGAACGCUGGCGGCGUGCUUAACACAUGCAAGUCGAACGGAAAGGCCCUGCUUUUGUUGGUUGCUCGAGUGGCGAACGGGUGAGUAACACGUGUGUAACCUGCCCUUGACUUUGGGAUAACUUCAGGAAACUGGGGCUAAUACCGGAUAGGAGCUCCUGCUGCAUGGUGGGGGUUGGAAAGUUUCGGCGGUUGGGGAUGGACUCGCGGCUUAUCAGCUUGUUGGUGGGGUAGUGGCUUACCAAGGCUUUGACGGGUAGCCGGCCUGAGAGGGUGACCGGCCACAUUGGGACUGAGAUACGGCCCAGACUCCUACGGGAGGCAGCAGUGGGGAAUAUUGCACAAUGGGCGGAAGCCUGAUGCAGCAACGCCGCGUGCGGGAUGACGGCCUUCGGGUUGUAAACCGCUUUCGCCUGUGACGAAGCGUGAGUGACGGUAAUGGGUAAAGAAGCACCGGCUAACUACGUG
rnacentral:rRNA from 1 species